CAAUAGCGUAUAUUAAAGUUGUUGCAGUUAAAAAGCUCGUAGUUGGAUUUCUGGUAGGAGCGACCGUGCCGAACUUGAUUGUUCGAGUAUUGUGUUGUCUUCAGCCAUCCUCGUGGAGAACUUUUCUAACAUUAACUUGUUGGGAUUGGGACCCGCGUCGUUUACUGUGAAAAAAUUAGAGUGUCUAAAGCAGGCAUUAGCUUGAAUACAUUAGCAUGGAAUAAUAAGAUAGGACUUUGGUACUAUUUUGUUGGUUUGCAUACCAAAUUAAUGAUCAACAGGAACAGUUUGAGGAUAUUCGUAUGAACAUGUCAGAGGUGAAAUUCUUGGAUUUUGAUCAGACGAACUACUGCGAAAGCAUUUAUCAAGGAUGUUUUCAUUAA
rnacentral:rRNA from 1 species